rnacentral:lncRNA from 1 species
GUGGCCUUUUUCUCUUCGGACGCAUCUUCUCUGAUUGUAUCAGGUGCAAGUGUAUCUAGAAUAUAGGAGAUCUUCUUUUGAGUGAGAACUAUUCUCAAGUUUCUUAACCAGUCGAUGUAGUUUGAUCCUCUCAAUUUAUUUGCAUCUAGUAUGCCUCUAAGUGAUAGUGAGGAUGCCAUAUGUGUAGUUAAUCUACAAUAAUAAGAACACAAUGUAAGCGGA